AUUGAACGCUGGCGGCAGGCCUAACACAUGCAAGUCGAACGAGUGGCGGACGGGUGAGUAAUGUCUGAGAAACUGCCCGAUGGAGGGGGAUAACUACUGGAAACGGUAGCUAAUACCGCAUACCAUCGGAUGUGCCCAGACUGGAUUAGCUAGUAGGGGGGGUAACGGCUCACCUAGGCGACGAUCCCUAGCUGGUCUGAGAGGAUGACCAGCAACACUGGAAAUGAGACACGGUCAAGACUCCUACGGGAGGCAGAAGUGGGGAAUAUUGCACAAUGGGCGCAAGCCUGAUGCAGCAAUGCCGCGUGUAUGAAGAAGGCCUUCGGGUUGUAAAAUACUGUAAGCGAGGAGGCGUUACUCGAAGAAGAAGCACCGGCUAACUCCGUGCCAGCAGCCGCGGUAAUAC
rnacentral:rRNA from 1 species